UCAACCGCGCCGCGCCGCCGCACCAUCGUUCCGCGCUCCCCUGCACAACCCCUAAAAAUCCCCCAUUUUCCUUGUUGCUCGAGCUCGACUCCUCCACGCCGGACGUCGCCUCGUCCACACCGCCAGACGCCGCCCCGCCCUCACCGCCGGAGCUCCCCCGCCCCACGCCUCCGCCGUGUUGCUUCCGGCGGUCGGCGGAUUAAGGCAGCGGCCUCGCUGGCCCAUGGAACCCGCCAGAGUUCAAAGAUGCCAUGCUCAAUUUUUUGGUAAAGCUACUCGAGUUGCCAGCAAUGCAUGCAAAGCGGCAACAGUUGGCUGCUCAGUUUUUCUUGUACUGCCAAGAUGGAAGGUGUAAAACGAUGGACCUCUGAUUUGAAGAAAUAAGAUAAUCUGCUCUGUGUUGCAAGUUGCUGUCAUGCCGCCGGUGUCAUUAGUUCGUUGUCAUCUGAGAAAUAUGCGUCCUCCAUGAAGCCAAGGCGUCCUCCAUGAAGCCAAGGUUCAGCCCUAUGUUUUCCUCCCGGCUGCUCGAAGCUCACUUUCAGAGCUGCGUCGACGAACUGCCAUACGAGCUGUCACACCCGGUUCAUCCUCCGGCUGUUGCCGGCCGCAAAGUACAGAGUAGAUGAUCAAUUGUGUUUCAAAUUAAUGAACAAGCGCAAUGUACAUAAAUUGGAGCUCAGGUUCUUCUUCUCACCGGCAGAAGAACGAGCAGGGGAGCUCCGGGCGGCAGCACGAGCAGGCCCGUCGGGGAAGAGCAGCAACUUGCAGACGAGCAGCAGAAGAAGCUCGAGGUUGAGGAGGAGCUUGAGUCCCAGGCCCGCCUGGAGCUCCAGGUCCAGGCACUCGAGACCCAGGCGCGCGCAGGUCCUGUGCGGCGCCGGCGCAGGCCCUGGGCGGCGGGAGGGAUAGCAGCGCAGCCCUGGGCGGCGGGAGGGGAUCGCGACGCAGCCCUAGGCGGCGGGAGGGAUCACGGCUGGAGAGGAUGGCGGCGGAGCAGCGCCCUUCAGCAGUGGAGCCGCCGCCCGUCGAGGUGGUCGCCGCGGAGGAGCAGGUGAACGGCGCGGCGCAGCUCGCCUCCGUGCGGGCGACAUAGCUCGCCUCGGGCGGCGCAGCUGGGCAGGGGCGGCGGUGGUUCACAGCGGUGGCGCAGGCCCUGGCCGUCGUCACGUGCUCGGCCUUAUGGUGGGUGCCGACGGUGGCGCGGGCGACCACGGUGUGCGUCGGCGACGAAGAAAGGAGGAAGAAGCAGCGGGGUCUGAUUAGCAAGAGAUUUGAAGCUAGAAGGGGUUUUCUGCAAAAUUGUAAAUGAACUAAGCAGUGGACAACUAUUCCCGGACGGAGGGAGUAUAUACGCUAUAACUGAUAGAUACACAUGGUCAUACACCUCUUCCUAUGGGGGUUUAGCUGUGAUCAGCCC